AAAUUGAAGAGUUUGAUCAUGGCUCAGAUUGAACGCUGGCGGCAGGCCUAACACAUGCAAGUCGAGCGGAAACGAGUUAUCUGAACCUUCGGGGRACGAUAACGGCGUCGAGCGGCGGACGGGUGAGUAAUGCCUAGGAAAUUGCCCUGAUGUGGGGGAUAACCAUUGGAAACGAUGGCUAAUACCGCAUGAUGCCUWYGGGCCAAAGAGGGGGACCUUCGGGCCUCUCGCGUCAGGAUAUGCCUAGGUGGGAUUAGCUAGUUGGUGAGGUAAGGGCUCACCAAGGCGACGAUCCCUAGCUGGUCUGAGAGGAUGAUCAGCCACACUGGAACUGAGACACGGUCCAGACUCCUACGGGAGGCAGCAGUGGGGAAUAUUGCACAAUGGGCGCAAGCCUGAUGCAGCCAUGCCGCGUGUGUGAAGAAGGCCUUCGGGUUGUAAAGCACUUUCAGUCGUGAGGAAGGUGAUUUGACGUUAGCGACAGAAGAAGCACCGGCUAACUCCGUGCCAGCAGCCGCGGUAAUAGAAUUACUGGGCGUAAAGCGCAUGCAGGUGGUUUGUUAAGUCAGAUGUGAAAGCCCGGGGCUCAACCUCGGAAUUGCAUUUGAAACUGGCAGACUAGAGUACUGUAGAGGGGGGUAGAAUUUCAGGUGUAGCGGUGAAAUGCGUAGAGAUCUGAAGGAAUACCGGUGGCGAAGGCGGCCCCCUGGACAGAUACUGACACUCAGAUGCGAAAGCGUGGGGAGCAAACAGGAUUAGAUACCCUGGUAGUCCACGCCGUAAACGAUGUCUACUUGGAGGUUGUGGCCUUGAGCCGUGGCUUUCGGAGCUAACGCGUUAAGUAGACCGCCUGGGGAGUACGGUCGCAAGAUUAAAACUCAAAUGAAUUGACGGGGGCCCGCACAAGCGGUGGAGCAUGUGGUUUAAUUCGAUGCAACGCGAAGAACCUUACCUACUCUUGACAUCCAGAGAACUUUCCAGAGAUGGAUUGGUGCCUUCGGGAACUCUGAGACAGGUGCUGCAUGGCUGUCGUCAGCUCGUGUUGUGAAAUGUUGGGUUAAGUCCCGCAACGAGCGCAACCCUUAUCCUUGUUUGCCAGCGAGUAAUGUCGGGAACUCCAGGGAGACUGCCGGUGAUAAACCGGAGGAAGGUGGGGACGACGUCAAGUCAUCAUGGCCCUUACGAGUAGGGCUACACACGUGCUACAAUGGCGCAUACAGAGGGCAGCCAACUUGCGAAAGUGAGCGAAUCCCAAAAAGUGCGUCGUAGUCCGGAUUGGAGUCUGCAACUCGACUCCAUGAAGUCGGAAUCGCUAGUAAUCGUGGAUCAGAAUGCCACGGUGAAUACGUUCCCGGGCCUUGUACACACCGCCCGUCACACCAUGGGAGUGGGCUGCAAAAGAAGUAGGUAGUUUAACCUUCGGGGGGACGCUUACCACUUUGUGGUUCAUGACUGGGGUGAAGUCGUAACAAGGUAGCGCUAGGGGAACCUGGCGCUGGAUCACCUCCUUAAACGAUGAU
rnacentral:rRNA from 1 species